AAUAAUUGGGAAUAUGGCUUGGAGUUUAUAUCUCAAUUUUGAAGGAUUUUGGUGAAUAUUAGACUUGGUUUUUGCUGAUUUUCAAAUUGAAACUCGAAGACAUGACAUACAUUAUAUUACUGUAAUUGUAGAAAUAUUGUAGAAAAAUUUUAGACUGUUGUUUAUUUAUUUUUGAGCUGUAGUAUUUUUGUGUUAAAAGUUUUGAUGGGAG
rnacentral:lncRNA from 1 species